GGAAGAUGAGGGAGCGUAUAGGGAGGAGGUAGAGGAGGUGAGCAGAGGGGGCGAUACACAGAAACCAAAAAAAAAGGUGUCGGUUAAAAGUGAAUUCCAAGCUGACAAAGACAAGAGCCAUCCAAAGAAAGAGACAUGCAGCCACACAUGGAGGUGCAGCUGAAGGACAUGCAGAGACCCACAUCACCAAACUGAAGAAAUAGAGUCUGAAGCAGCAAAUGAGACGGAGAGAAAUGUCUGAAGAACGAGCUGGAUUUCCACGGUCUGAGAUUCAUGUUUCAGAGGAUGGAUCUGGACUUUAUGGUAAAUGGGUUGGUAAUUAUAUCGCGCCUUUGUACUUAAGUUGAGGACUUUCUGCUACAGGUCUCAUUCAGGCAGUCACACACACAUGCA